GUGGUCUGUUGUCGCGAAGACCGGCGCUGACUGUAGAUCAGCCGCCUUUGGCUGUGGGGGUUCGAUUCCCUCUCUGCCCA
rnacentral:tRNA from 1 species